UACGGGGGGGGCAAGCGUUGUUCGGAAUUACUGGGCGUAAAGGGCUCGUAGGUGGCCAACUAAGUCAGACGUGAAAUCCCUCGGCUUAACCGGGGAACUGCAUCUGAUACUGGAUGGCUUGAGUUUGGGAGAGGGAUGCGGAAUUCCAGGUGUAGCGGUGAAAUGCGUAGAUAUCUGGAGGAGCACCGGUGGCGAAGGCGGCAUCCUGGACCAACACUGACACUGAUGAGCGAAAGCCAGGGGAGCAAACGGG
rnacentral:rRNA from 1 species